GAUGAACGCUGACAGAAUGCUUAACACAUCAGCAACUGAUUGGUGGAGGACGGGGGAGUAACGCGUAAAGAACUUACCUCACAGUUAGGGACAACAUGUGGAAACGAAUGCUAAUACCUAAUACUGUGAGAGAGCUUUGCGUCCCAUUAGCUAGUUGGAGAGGUAACGGCUCACCAAGGCGAGGAUGGGUAGCCGGCCUGGGAGGGUGAUCGGCCACAAGGGGACUGGGACACGACCCUUACUCCUACGGGAGGCAGGAGUGGGGAAUAUUGGACAAUAGACCAAAGUCUGAUCCAGCAAUUCUGUGUGCACGAUGAAGUUUUCGGGAUGUAAAGUGCUUUCAGUUGCGAAGCGGUACCAACAGAAGAAGUGACGGCUAAAUACGUGCCAGCAGCCGCGGUAAUAC
rnacentral:rRNA from 1 species